rnacentral:rRNA from 1 species
CUCCUACGGGAGGCAGCAGUGGGGAAUAUUGGUCAAUGGGCGAGAGCCUGAACCAGCCAUGCCGCGUGCAGGAUGACGGCCCUAUGGGUUGUAAACUGCUUUUCUGCGGGAAGAAAAGGGUGGAUUCGUUCUUUGCUUGACGGUACUGCAGGAAUAAGCAUCGGCUAACUCCGUGCCAGCAGCCGCGGUAAUACGGAGGAUGCAAGCGUUAUCCGGAUUCAUUGGGUUUAAAGGGUGCGCAGGCGGGGUGAUAAGUCAGUGGUGAAAGCCCGGAGCUUAACUUCGGGAUUGCCAUUGAAACUGUCACUCUUGAGUACAGUCGGAGACGGCGGAAUGAGUUAUGUAGCGGUGAAAUGCAUAGAUAUAACUCAGAACACCGAUCGCGAAGGCAGCUGUCUAGACUGAGACUGACGCUGAGGCACGAAAGCGUGGGUAGCAAACAGGAUUAGAUACCCUGGUAGUCCACGCUGUAGACUAUGAUCACUCGCUGUUGGCGAUAUACAGUCAACGGCUGAGCGAAAGCAUGUAAGUGAUCCACCUGGGGAGAUCGUCGGCAACGAUGAAACCUAAA